CAGCCGCCGCGGGAAUACGUAGGUGGCAAGCGUUGUCCGGAAUUAUUGGGCGUAAAGCGCGCGCAGGCGGAUAGGUCAGUCUGUCUUAAAAGUUCGGGGCUUAACCCCGUGAUGGGAUGGAAACUGCCAAUCUAGAGUAUCGGAGAGGAAAGUGGAAUUCCUGGUGUAGCGGUGAAAUGCGUAGAUAUUAGGAAGAACACCAGUGGCGAAGGCGACUUUCUGGACGAAAACUGACGCUGAGGCGCGAAAGCCAGGGGAGCGAACGGGAUUAGAGACCCGAGUAGUCCCUGUCUCUUAUACA
rnacentral:rRNA from 1 species